AUUUUGACGUGAAGCAAGGUUCAGCUUCUAACAGUCCAUUGACUUGGAUAAUUCAAUUUAUUAAUGUGACCUCAAAUCAGGUAGGACUACCCGCUGAACUUAAGCAUAUCAAUAAGCGGAGGAAAAGAAACUAACAAGGAUUCCCCUAGUAACUGCGAGUGAAGCGGGAAAAGCUCAAAUUUAAAAUCUGGCAGUCUUUGGCUGUCCGAGUUGUAAUCUAGAGAAGCAUUAUCCGCGCUGGACCGUGUACAAGUCUUCUGGAAUGGAGCGUCAUAGAGGGUGAGAAUCCCGUCUUUGACACGGACUGCCAGGGCUUUGUGAUGUGCUCUCAAAGAGUCGAGUUGUUUGGGAAUGCAGCUCAAAAUGGGUGGUAAAUUCCAUCUAAAGCUAAAUAUUGGCGAGAGACCGAUAGCGAACAAGUACCGUGAGGGAAAGAUGAAAAGAACUUUGGAAAGAGAGUUAAACAGUACGUGAAAUUGCUGAAAGGGAAACGCUUGAAGUCAGUCGCGUUGUCCAGGGAUCAACUCUUGCUUUUGCUUGGUGUAUUUUCUGGUUAACGGGUCAGCAUCAAUUUUGACUAUUGGAAAAAGAUUAAGGGAAUGUGGCAUCUUUGGAUGUGUUAUAGCCCUUGGUUGCAUACAUUAGUUGGGAUUGAGGAACUCAGCACGCCGCAAGGCCGAGUUUUUAUUAACUACGUACGUGCUUAGGAUGCUGGCAUAAUGGCUUUAAUCGACCCGUCUUGAAACACGGACCAAGGAGUCUAACAUGCCUGCGAGUGUUUGGGUGGAAAACCCGAGCGCGCAAUGAAAGUGAAAGUUGAGAUCCCUGUCGUGGGGAGCAUCGACGCCCGGACUUGACCUUUUGUGACGGUUCCGCGGUAGAGCAUGUAUGUUGGGACCCGAAAGAUGGUGAACUAUGCCUGAAUAGGGUGAAGCCAGAGGAAACUCUGGUGGAGGCUCGUAGCGAUUCUGACGUGCAAAUCGAUCGUCAAAUUUGGGUAUAGGGGCGAAAGACUAAUCGAACCAU
rnacentral:rRNA from 1 species